UACGUAGGGUCCAAGCGUUAUCCGGAAUCACUGGGCGUAAAGCGUGCGUAGGUGGUUUGUUAAGUGCGAUGCGAAAUCCUGGGGCUCAACCCCAUGGACUGUAUAGCAUACUGGCAAACUAGAGGACAUGAGAGGCAAGUGGAAUUACUGGUGUAGCAGUGAAAUGCGUAGAUAUCAGUAGGAACACCAAUGGCGAAGGCAGCUUGCUGGCAUGUAUCUGACGCUAAGGCACGAAAGCGUGGGGAGCGAACAGG
rnacentral:rRNA from 1 species